UACGUCUGCGUCUUAUGUGCGCUUGGAUAGACAAGAUGGCUGAAAACAUGGAUUUGGAAGUGGAUCCCAGUGUCGAAUUUCUGUAUAGGACAAUGUUGCAAAGAGACCCAAGAAAGAGGCGAGUUAAACCGGUACAGAAACACCUUAUUCAGGUGGACUUUGGCGGAGCAGACGACAGUGAUGAUAGCGAUUUUGAGUUAGACAAACAUCAUAAAGGUCUUGAUGAUUCUGAUGAAGAAGAGGAUGACAAUCAACAAUCUGAAGAGGAGGAUGAGGAUGAUGAGGGUUCAGAGGAGGAGAACAAAGAGAAAAAGAAAGAGGAAAGUUUCAUAGUAGAAAGUCCUCAGGAAGAAUCUGGCAGCUGUUUGUCCAAAGAUGAUGUUGAAAAGACGGAGAAGAGUGAGCCAGCUGUCCCAUACAUUCCAUUCAAGCAUAAGCCAAUCAAGGUCACGAUCUGCUGUGUGUGUCUAGGAGAUAUCAGUGAGGAAGAUGAUGAAAUUGUAGAAUGUGACAAUUGUGGAGCAUCAGUGCAUGAAGGUUGUUAUGGGAUUAGUGAGAACCAUUCAUCCUGCAGUACAGAAUCUUCAGCCAGCACGGAACCCUGGUUCUGUGAUGCUUGUAAAGCAGGCCUGAAACCAAUAUGUGAAUUGUGUCCAAAUCCUGGAGGCAUAUUCAAAGAAACGGAUGCUGGAAAGUGGGUACAUCUUGUGUGUGCCCUGUACACUCCGGGUGUGGCCUUCGGUGAUGUGGAUAAGCUGAGUCCUGUCACUUUGUUUGAGAUGCCAUACUCACGGUGGGGGGCCAGGGAGUGCUCAUUAUGUGAAGAUGCCAGAUUUAGUAGGACGGGAGUUUGUAUUAGCUGUGAUGCCGGAAUGUGUAGAACAUAUUUCCAUGUCACUUGUGCACAAAGAGAAGGCCUUUUGUCUGAGGCAGCUCCUGAAGAGUGUAUGGACAUUGCUGAUCCAUUUUUUGCGUACUGUAAAAUGCAUGCAGAGAAGAUGAUGUCUCGAGCGAAGAGAAGAAACUGGCUGGCCAUACAAUCACACAUUAGGAAGCAUCCAGAGAAGAAAAUAGAGGAUGAAAAGGAAAAAACUAGAUUUGAAAGAAAGUUGAGACGGCAUCAAGAGAAAUACCAGCAUGCAAAGCUCAAAAGACCACCAUCAUGGGUACCCACACAGAAACUUGUCAGACAUUUGACAUCAAGCCCGGCCGCUGUCAAGAAAAUGUUGAGGAAAGCAGAACUAAUGGGCAUCAUUACACAGUCUCAACACAUCUCCCAUGAAAAACAAGAGAUUAGGAAGAAGUCGUUCAUGGUGCCUUCCUUCUCCGUGGAGUUUAUCACACAUUUCCUGGAACGGAACACCAAAAUUGAGAACAUGAAGACGUGUAUGAAGGAUAUUGUUUCACAAAACGAAAAACUACAGGAGCAGGAGAAGAUAUUACGUAGGAAAUAUGAUCAGUUGUAUUCGGAUGUGGAGGGGUUGAGACACUGUGCCAAUGAAAAACGAAAAACUGGUGAGAAGUUGUGGAGUUUGCUGAAUGACUUGUCAGAAAAGAAGUUUCCUGUCCCAGAAGAGUUUAAAGUUCGCAAGCCUUCCCCAUCACGUGUGAUCAGUCGUAAGAACAGCGUCACUUCUCCGCCUGCUGUCAUACAUCAAUGUGCAUUAUGCCGUAAGACAAAUAACCAACACUUACUGGCUCACUGUGACAGCUGCAGGGAGUACUACCACUUAGGGUGUCUGGAUCCUCCCCUCAGUCGUAUGCCAAAGAAAACCAAGAUUAUGGGAUGGCAGUGUUCAGAAUGUACAAAAUCCAGCAGUGGCGAUUCAGAAGUGGAGACCAAAGAUUUAGACGCCCCUCGUAAACUAAGGGAGAAGAUCAAAGAGCCAACAAAAUGGUCACCUGACAUGAAAUUCAAAUUUGAAUUUGAAAAACUCACGAAGUACAACAUGAAAGUCAAAAAGAGAAAGAAAAAGAAGAAAGCAGGAAAACAAGUAGAAGAAAAUGACGGGGAACCAAAGGCAAAAAAGUCCAGACAGUCUAUAGGGUCAGCUAGUAAGAAGAUCAAAGUGGAUGAGAUUCCGGAGGGCAGGAUUUGUGCUGUGUGCAAUAAACCUGGAGACAGCUCGGAUAUGGUCAAGUGCGAUGAGUGUAGGUUGUGUUACCACUUUGGGUGUUUAGACCCACCCAUGAAGAAGACCCCGAAACAGAGAGGUUAUUCUUGGCACUGUGAGGCAUGCGACCCUUCAAAUAGCUCAGUUCUGAAUUUGGGUUUUACCCACACAUAAUUCUUGGGCGAUUUUGUGCGCCGUUUCUUCCUGAUCCAACCGUCUGAUCGCACCCUGAUCCAACCGUCUGAUCGCACCUAGUUUGGCUUCUAAUGAAGAGGAAGACGAGAAUAAGCCAGAAGACGACUGAACAGUGGUGCUAAGCAGUUCACAAAGGAUGAUAGGAGGUUGUGAUAAGAUACGCACUCCACGGAUUUAAUGCUGUUACUUCCUGAUACACAGGAUUGAUAAGACUUAAACAGAACACGGUUUACCUUUACCAGGAUUGAUAUACUUAAACAGAACAUGGUUUACCUUUACCAGUCAUUUAAAAGAGGCAAUAAAAAGGGUAUUUACUUA